UACGUAGGGGGCUAGCGUUGUCCGGAAUCAUUGGGCGUAAAGAGCGUGUAGGCGGCUUGGUAAGUCCGCUGUGAAAGUCCAGGGCUCAACCCUGGAAAGCCAGUGGAAACUGUCAAGCUAGAGUCCGGAAGAGGCGAGUGGAAUUCCUGGUGUAGCGGUGAAAUGCGCAGAUAUCGGGAAGAACACCAGUGGCGAAGGCGGCUUCCUGGCCUGCAACUGACGCUGAGACGCGAAAGCGUGGGAGCGAACCGG
rnacentral:rRNA from 1 species